ensembl:lncRNA
ACUUUUGACUGUAUACAUGUGGUUAUUUUAUAAGCUUAUUUGAAUAAUAAUCAAGCACUUGGGAGUUUUUAGAUAAGAGAGGAGAGGUACUAGAAUAGAGUUAAUUGUGAAAAAGAUUUAUUCUAGGGUUAGAAAAAUCACAAUGAUUAAAUUUUCCCCAAAACAUUGCUUCCAAAAUGACCACCAAAAGCACUAAGUAGAAUUGUGAGUAGGAAAGCUAACAUUGUCACAGUGAGUCUAUUCCAUUCUAGGACAGCUCUGGAGGACAUUCAAAGGUCUUUGGACAAUGGGGUGGAAGCUGGACAGAAAUACAAUAUAGACAGAAGAGGAGCAUGGAAGUGGCAAUGAGAUGGGGCUUCAACAGUGUCCAGGGAUGGUAAAGGGCAACGCUGACUGAACUCCUGAUCAGAAAAAAGUUCCAGGAAACUCUUGUACUAUUUAUUAUUCACACAAGAUGAGGCGAUUUGCCAUCUCUGUUGCCCAUUACUCCAUUCUGGGUUGCAAUAAAAGGACAGAGAAUGAGGGAGCAAGGGCUUUUGUCUGUGUAAAGACCUUGACAGGAAGCGCAGUGACCAUAGUACUCUAGAUCACAUGACACUGGAAAAAACCUAUAGGCCCCCAGAUUGAGCUGUUAAAACAUUAACCAGUCAUUUCCUCAAAAAGUGAGGAGAAUUCAACAAGUAACUUAAAGCUCAAAGUCAAGAAAGAGAUGGAAAAGAGCAAACAAAAAAAAGGAACUUGACCAUAAAAAGUUUUUAAGGUGAUGGGAAGGUCAAGAUAUAAACUUAGAAGACAGCAACUUGAAAAUAUUUACAAUCAAAGCCUCAAAGAAAAUAUAGAUUGGGAACAAACACAACAAGAAUUCCUAAUAGAGCAAAAGUAAAAAGCUAUAAAGAAUAAAAAAAAAGAUUUUAAGAAAAAGAUUUAUUAAUUUAAAAUAUAGUUACAGCUUUUGGAAGUAAGGUGGGUGAUUUCUGAAAGGCCUAGAGAGACUUACACAAACUGAUGCUGAGUGAAACGAGCAGGGCUAGGAGAUCAUUAUAUACUUCAACAACAAUGCUAUAUGAUCACCAAUUCUGAUGGACCUGGCCAUCCUCAGCAAUGAGAUGAACCAAAUCAGUUCUAAUGGAGCAGUAAUGAACUGAACCAGCUACGCCCAGAGAAAGAACUCUGGGAGAUGACUAAGAACCAUUACAUUGAAUUCCCAAUCCCUAUAUUUUUGCUCGCCUGCAUUUUGGAUUUCCUUCACAAGCUAAUUGUACAAUAUUUCAGAAUCUGAUUCUUUUUGUACAGCAAAAUAACGGUUUGGCCAUGUAUACUUAUUGUGUAUCUAUAUUUUAAUAUGUUUGACAUCUACUGGUCAUUCUGCCAUCUGGGGGAGGGGGUGGGAGGAAGGAGGGGAAAAAUUGGAACAAGAGAUUUGGCAAUUGUCAAUGCUGUAAAGUUACCCAUACAUAUAACCUGUAAAUAAAAGGCUUUUAAAAUUUAAAAAAAAAAAAAAAGGAAGUAGGGUGGAAUUUAUGUUGAAAUGAACAUUCACCAAAAAAUGGGAUUAGGAAAUUGUCAAAGAUUAUGAAUUCAUGUAUGUUAUAACUCAGAACAUCAGUUAUCUACUAAUAUUCACUAAUUCAAAAUAGUUUCAGGUAGAAGUCCUACUAAAAAAAAA